ensembl:misc_RNA Metazoa_SRP Metazoan signal recognition particle RNA
GCAAAGGCAGAAAUGGAAGAUCUCUUGAGCCCAGGAGUCCUGGGCUGUAGCGUGCUGUGCCGAUCAGGUGUCUGUACUGAGUUCGGCGUCAGUAUGGUGACCUCCCAGGAGCGGGGACCACCAGGUUGCCUGAGGAGGGGUGAACCGGCCCAGGUCGGAAACGGAGCAGGUCAAAACUCCCUGCUGAUCAGCAGUGGGAUCGCGCCUAGGAACAGACACUGCACUCCAGCCUGGGCAACAUAGCGAGACCCCGUUUCUU